ACAAAGUCCUCUGCAGAGUGGUGAGCACACAACACUCUUCACCCAGGGCCGAGACGAAGGCCAGGCUGGGUAAACUGCCUAUUCAUCAACUCAGAGCAGAGAAGGGAGGCAGAUCAAAGGGAGACAUGUAUCCAAGAUAACAAAAUUGUUUAUUUUUCUCUGCGAUUUAUUUCUCACCAUGCAACUAAUGACACCAACAACAAGGCACGAAACCCUGAUCCACAAGCAGCUGAGAACUUGAAGUAUAUGUCAGAAGCUACUGUAAAUCAAGGUCGAGAGGGAGAUUUACGACCAGAACUCAUUAUAUUUCCGUCACACACCCUUAAAAGGAAGAGGAUGUUUUAUGGAAAUGUUGGUGCCUGAAAAUGCACUUUCCCCCAUCUAUAAUUCAGCAAGAACGGUUUUGCACCUGAUUCCGAACUCUGGCUGAAAAACAAGACUGUCAGUGAAGGAAACAAAAGGAUCAACAGCUGAACAGGCCUAUGUAUUUGUUUGUUUAUUUACUGUUUGUGUAAAUCUCUGGCUUCUUGUUGGUAACCGUGCUUGGUGAUGACAGGUCACAACACAGAACUACUCAGGAGGUAAGUGGUUUACAUGCCUCCUGGGAAAAGCAGCAAAGAGUAACUAGGCCUAGCUGUUACUCAGUUUCCAACUCCUUGAACAGACAGCUGGGUCGUUCAUAAAGUAGCCCAACUCAACCUGCAGGUGGCACCUUCAUAUAAAGCUCCCCUGGCAAUUACAUCUUGUGUUUUUAUUUGUGUAAUUCAGUAAUAGAGGCAACAGCAGUCAUGAAACCAAAUCUAUUAAUUUUCUCCUUAGUGGUUCAUAGUGAAUGUGAAAAUAUACGCUUU